CAUCAUUAACGGUUCCUCUCCUCAAACAACCACAGCGCAGGACUGUCUAACAAAAGAACCUAUACAUUUAACAGGGUUCACUGAGCAGCACUAAUCAGUUAAUGAAGACGUUGUAUGAUUCAUGAAUAUGGCUCUGUAGUGGACUGCUGGAGCUGCUGAUGUCUGUUGCUGGCUGACAAUAAAGUGAUCUCUUUGGACUUACCUCAUCUUUUGAAGAAAUCCGAGCCUUGCUCCUGAUCCUGCUGUGCUGGACGGUAUAUGAUUAAUUGAGAAUCUUACACUAACUGUGGUAAUGGAGACCCAUUUGGUGAGAGCAGCACAGCAGAUUUUCCUGAUGGUGAGGAGCUACUUGCUGACGAACCCACCAACAUGAUUUCACCUUAUAAGUGCCUUUGUUCUAUUCAACAUUAUACAGAAAAGCUUUUAAACGUACAGCAAAGUGUACUAUUUUUCUGCUGCAUUUGUUGGGUAUUCAAGAGGAGAUCAUCAAGCUACCUACAGCUGUCUUGAGGCUUAUCAAUUUCUUAAAAUUUCCUGUGUGAAUUUUCCCAAUCUGUGACCUCCAUUUAGAACAAGAAAGAAUGUUAUCGUUGACUGCGAUGUACAUUAAAUUUGCUCAUUUGAAUUGUACUAUUUUUGAAGUAUGAUUGUUUUAAAGUUCUAAGAUAUUUGAGUCACAUUUAUUUGUUUAUGGUUUUGUCAAGGUGUAAGUUUUAUUUAUUUUUUAUUUAUAACAAUAUUAACACCGGUGUUCCCAUGAAUUUGAUUGUGAUGUGCAGUAUUGAUUAUUUAUUUGAAACUUCUAUGGAUGUUGUUGUUAAUCAAUAAACAAUGUUUGAUAUGUAUUCAUUUUAGUUUUUCUGUUUGUUUAUUAAAAUAAUUAAAUGUCAA